rnacentral:tRNA from 1 species
GCUCCCAUAGCUCAAUUGAAUAGAGCAACAGCCUUCAUACAGUGUAAUGAGCUGUAAAUCAUCUAACUAGAUUGAGGUUCGACUCCUUUAUCUAGUUCUAAGCUGUGGGUUUCCAGUUUGAAUCUGGAUGGGAGCA